CGCUGGGCACUGCUUCACGGCGUGCGCGGCGGGGCCGGCCCUGCUGAAUUAUUCACCCGUGUCUUUUGCGUACUUCUUGUUUCCUGGGUGGGCUCGCCCGCCCUCAGGACCAACCACAAACCUUUUGCAAUAGCAAUCAGCGUCAGUAACAACGUAAUUAAUUACAACUUUCAACAACGGAUCUCUUGGUUCUGGCAUCGAUGAAGAACGCAGCGAAAUGCGAUACGUAGUGUGAAUUGCAGAAUUCAGUGAAUCAUCGAAUCUUUGAACGCACAUUGCGCCCUUUGGUAUUCCAAAGGGCAUGCCUGUUCGAGCGUCAUUUGUACCCUCAAGCUUUGCUUGGUGUUGGGCGUCUUUUGUCUCCAGUUCGCUGGAGACUCGCCUUAAAGUCAUUGGCAGCCGGCCUACUGGUUUCGGAGCGCAGCACAAGUCGCGCUCUUCGCCAGCCAAGGUCAGCGUCCAGCAAGCCUUUUUUUCAACCUUUGACCUCGGAUCAGGUAGGGAUACCCGCUGAACUUAAGCAUAUCAAUAAGCG
rnacentral:rRNA from 1 species